UACAGAGGUCUCAAGCGUUGUUCGGAUUCAUUGGGCGUAAAGGGUGCGUAGGCGGCGCGGUAAGUCGGGUGUGAAAUCUCGGAGCUUAACUCCGAAACUGCAUUCGAUACUGCCGUGCUUGAGGACUGGAGAGGAGACUGGAAUUUACGGUGUAGCGGUGAAAUGCGUAGAUAUUGGGAAGAACACCGGUGGCGUAAGCGACUUGCUGGGCCGUAACUGACGCUGAGGAACGAAAGCUAGGGUAGCGAAUGGG
rnacentral:rRNA from 1 species